AGCGGCAGACGGGUGAGUAACACGUGGGAACGUACCCUUUACUACGGAAUAACGCAGGGAAACUUGUGCUAAUACCGUAUGUGCCCUAUUGGGGAAAGAUUUAUCGGUAAGGGAUCGGCCCGCGUUGGAUUAGCUAGUUGGUGGGGUAAAGGCCUACCAAGGCGACGAUCCAUAGCUGGUCUGAGAGGAUGAUCAGCCACAUUGGGACUGAGACACGGCCCAAACUCCUACGGGAGGCAGCAGUGGGGAAUAUUGGACAAUGGGCGCAAGCCUGAUCCAGCCAUGCCGCGUGAGUGAUGAAGGCCCUAGGGUUGUAAAAGCUCUUUCACCGGAGGAAGGAGAAAUGACG
rnacentral:rRNA from 1 species